GAGGGUAUAGCUCAGUAGUGUGUGUGCUUAGUAUGCACAAGGUCCUGGGUUCAAUCCCCAGUACCUCCA
rnacentral:tRNA from 1 species